rnacentral:rRNA from 1 species
GACAGAGGGUGCAAACGUUGUUCGGAAUUACUGGGCGUAAAGCGCGUGUAGGCUGCUCUGCAAGUCGGAUGUGAAAGCCCUGGGCUCAACCUAGGAAGUGCAUUCGAAACUGCAGAGCUGGAGUCCUGGAGAGGAAGGCGGAAUUCUCGGUGUAGGAGGUGAGAUUCGUAGAUAUCGAGAGGAACACCGGUGGCGAAGGCGGCCUCCUGGCCUGUUCUUGACGCUGAGGCGCGAAAGCUAGGGGAGCAAACGGG